CCAGACUCCUACGGGAGGCAGCAGUGGGGAAUAUUGCACAAUGGGGGAAACCCUGAUGCAGCAACGCCGCGUGAGUGAAGAAGUCAUUCGUGAUGUAAAGCUCUAUCAGCAGGGAAGAAAAUGACGGUACCUGAGUAAGAAGCCCCGGCUAACUACGUGCCAGCAGCCGCGGUAAUACGUAGGGGGCAAGCGUUAUCCGGAUUUACUGGGUGUAAAGGGAGCGUAGACGGCAGUGCAAGUCCGGAGUGAAAGCCCGGGGCUCAACCCUGGGACUGCUCUGGAAACUGUACGGCUGGAGUGCAGGAGAGGUAAGUGGAAUUCCUAGUGUAGCGGUGAAAUGCGUAGAUAUUAGGAGGAACACCAGUGGCGAAGGCGGCUUACUGGACUGUAACUGACGUUGAGGCUCGAAAGCGUGGGGAGCAAACAGGAUUAGGUACCCGUGUAGAC
rnacentral:rRNA from 1 species